AAGUCGUAACAAGGUUUCCGUAGGUGAACCUGCGGAAGGAUCAUUAUUGAAAUAUGUUUCUAAAUGGGUUGUAGCUGGCUUUAGAGCAUGUGCACGCCUGUUUGGACUUCAUUUUCAUCCACCUGUGCACCUAUUGUAGUCUUUGGUUGGGUUAGGAGGAAGUGGUCAUACUAUCAGCAUCUGCUGGAUAUGAGGACUUGCAUUGUGAAAACUUUGCUGUCCUUUAUGUGAUCAUGAAAUCGCUUUCUCACCGGAGUCUAUGUCAUUCAUUAUACUCUGUCAAAUGUCAUUGAAUGUCUUUACAUGGGCUUGUAUGCCUAUGAAAAUUGUAAUACAACUUUCAGCAACGGAUCUCUUGGCUCUC
rnacentral:misc_RNA from 1 species